GUAGUAAUACAAGGCAGACGGCUCAGUAACACGUAGUCAAUCUAACCUAUGGACGAGGAUAACCUCGGGAAACUGAGAAUAAUACUCGAUAGAUCAUUAUGCCUGGAACGGUUUAUGGUUCAAAUGAAUUUCGCCAUAGGAUGGGACUGCGGUCUAUCAGCUUGUUGGUGAGGUAAUGGCCCACCAAGGCUAUAACAGAUACGGGCUCUGAGAGGAGAAGCCCGGAGAUGGGUACUGAGACACGGACCCAGGCCCUAUGGGGCGCAGCAGGCGAGAAAACUUUGCAAUGUGCGAAAGCACGACAAGGUUAAUCCGAGUGGUUCCUGCUAAAGGAAUCUUUUGUUAGUCAUAAUACCACUAAUGAAUAAGGGGUGGGCAAGUUCUGGUGUCAGCCGCCGCGGUAAAACCAGCACCUCAAGUGGUCAGGAGGAUUAUUGGGCCUAAAGCAUCUGUAGCCAGCUUUGUGAGUUUUCGGUUAAAUCUAUAUGCUCAACAUAUAGGCUGCCGGGAAUACUGCAAAGCUAGGGAGUGGGAGAGGUAGACGGUACUCCGUAGGAAGGGGUAAAAUCCUUUGAUCUAUGGAUGACCACCUGUGGCGAAGGCGGUCUACCAGAACACGUUCGACGGUGAGGGAUGAUAGCUGGGGGAGCAAACCGGAUUAGAUACCCGGGUAGUCCCAGCUGUAAACUAUGCAAACUCAGUGAUGCAUUGGCUUGUGGCCAGUGCAGUGCCGCAGGGAAGCCGUUAAGUUUGCCGCCUGGGAAGUACGUACGCAAGUAUGAAACUCAAAGGAAUUGGCGGGGGAGCACCACAAGGGGUGAAGCCUGCGGUUCAAUUGGAGUCAACGCCAGAAAUCUUACCCGGAGAGACAGCAGGAUGAAGGUCAAGCUGAAGACUUUACCAGACAAGCUGAGAAGUGGUGCAUGGCCGUCGCCAGCUCGUGCCGUGAGAUGUCCUGUUAAGUCAGGUAACGAGCGAGAUCCUUGCCUCUAGUUGCCACCAUUACUCUCUGGAGUAGUGGGGCGAAUUAGCGGGACUGCCGUAGUUAAUACGGAGGAAGGAGAGGGCCACGGCAGGUCAGUAUGCCCUGAAACUCUGGGGCCACACGCGGGCUGCAAUGGUAGUGACAAUGGGUUCCGAAUCCG
rnacentral:rRNA from 1 species